UAUAUAUAUAUAAAAUUUAAUAAAAUAUUUAUUAUAAACACACACACGUGUAAUUUAAUUAUAAGUGUGUAUUUAUAUUAAUACAUAGUUACAUAGCUAAAAAGAGACUUGCGUCCAUCAAGUUCAGCCUUCCUCACAUUUGUUUUUGCUGUUGAUCCAAAAGAAGGCAAACAACCCAGUCUGAAGCACUUCCAAUUUUGCAACAAAGUAGGAAAAAAUUCCUUCUUGACCCCAAAAUAGCAGUCAGAUAUCUCCUUGGAUCAAGCAGCUAUUACCCCACUAAUUAGAAAUUAUAUCCCCGUAUGUUGUUUUUGGAACUAUUUAUCCAGUUGCAGUUUAAACAUCUGUAUGGCCUCUGAUAAAACCACCGCUUCAGGCAGAGAAUACCAUAUGCUUAUACUACUUAGUGUAAAAAAAAAAAAAAAAAAAAAGUCUUUGGCUUAAAAUUAAAUCUCCUUUCUUCCAGCCUAAAUGCAUGACCUUGUGUCCUAUGUAUAGCCCUGUUUAUGAAUAGAUUUCCAGAUAAUGGUUUGUACUGGCCCCGAAUAUAUUUGUAUAAUAUCAUAUCCCCUCUGAGGCGGCGAUUUUCCAAACUAAUGAGAUUUACAUUUUUUAACCUUUCUUUGUAACUAAAAUGCUCCAUUCCUUAUACAUGUAUAAAUUAUAUUAAAAAAAAA